rnacentral:tRNA from 1 species
AAUAUAGUGCCUGACAAAAAGGAUAGUUUUGAUAGGACUAAUAAUGCAAUUUCUUCUUUGCCUAUAUUA